CGGUGCAGCAGGCGCGAAAACUUUACAAUGCGGGAAACCGUGAUAAGGGAACUCCGAGUGCCCGUAAAAUCGGGCUGUCCAUCUGUUUAAAUAACAGGUGAAGAAAGGGCCGGGCAAGACCGGUGCCAGCCGCCGCGGUAAUACCGGCGGCUCGAGUGGUGGCCACUAUUACUGGGCUUAAAGCGUUCGUAGCUGGUCUGUUAAGUCUCUGGGGAAAUCUACUGGCUUAACCAAUAGGCGUUUCAGGGAUACUGGCAGACUAGGGACCGGGAGAGGUGAGGGGUACUCCAGGGGUAGGAGUGAAAUCCUGUAAUCCUUGGGGGACCACCUGUGGCGAAGGCGCCUCACCAGAACGGCUCCGACAGUGAGGGACGAAAGCUGGGGGAGCAAACCGGAUUAGAUACCCGGGUAGUCCCAGCCGUAAACGAUGCGCGUUAGGUGUAUCGGUGACCACGAGUCACCGAGGUGCCGAAGAGAAAUCGUGAAACGUGCCGCCUGGGAAGUACGGUCGCAAGGCUGAAACUUAAAGGAAUUGGCGGGGGAGCAC
rnacentral:rRNA from 1 species